GCCUGAGGCUGUAUCUGCAGGGUGGCCAACAUCUGACAAAACAAUCUGCUGGAAGGCUCAUGGAGGGAACUUUCCUGAUGCUUGCCCAGAUUUCCCCACACAGGGAGCAGAUCUGGCACGAGCUAUGUGAGCAGCCUGAUUUCCAAACGCACCGUGCCAUAAAUUCCAUCAAGCAGGGAAACACUGCAGAGGAGCUGGUGGGCCGCAACCCACCCAUCUCACUCCAUUUGUGGGCCUAAACCAGCUGGGGUGCCAGCUCCUUCUCUUUAAGUCCCUUUUCCUUAUCUCCUUCUUUAAUCCAGUGUACCAAGCACGCUUGUGCACGCAGGGGAAUCUGCAUCACAUCAGAUUAGUGUUGUCUCCUCUGCAGUGUUUGUGAAGCAGCCAUUUUCUGGUGUGUGGAGAGCACAGAGCCACCAGAGGGAGCGACAGCUCCAAACGUGGCAGCUCGGGAUCCGGGCUGCACCGGGAUGCAAACACAGAAACCACCAAGAGCCGGGAGGAGAGCAGGGCUGGCUCAACGUGCAUGGGGUUGUGUUUAGAUGGAGAAACCCCAAGAAAUUUUAAAGCCCAUUUUGAUGCUUUUGGUCAUUGACAAAGAUUUUAAACAGGACUAUCCCCAAAACUGAGCUCUGAGGAACAUCACUAGUGACUGGCUACCAACUGGAAGUAACUUGAUGCACCACCACUCUGAGCCUGGAUGUCCAGCCAGUUCUUUUUCAUUGUAGACACAACAUGAAAGGUCCAUAGACCAUAGAAGGCCUCUAAUUCCAUCAAGAGAAAGACUUGAGGAGUUGGCUAAUGUCACCAGAAAACCUCAAUGGAAUUACAGCUGCAAUUGUGGGGGUCUGGAGUAUUUCACUUGCUGCAGGAUGGGAAUGAAGUGCUAUCACUCAGCCGCCUCUGCUGUUCUCCAAAGCAUGGUCUUAUUAAACUGGAGCAGUGUGGAGAGAGCUUGUAGAAGCACAGAGAAGGUCAAAGAAGCUCAAAGAUGUGGAGUGGCUGUUGUGAUCAAAUACAAGUCUGGCAGCUGGAAAGGGGGAUGAAGGAAGAUCUCUAUGGUGGCCUGGAAAAAAUAUAUCAGAAUAGAUUAUUCAUUUGCUCUGCCAGUGAAAGAAUAAAAAAGACUGUUGGUGGAAUCAAAGUAGUCAACAGAUAUUGUUUUCCCUGCAAAGUACACAUAACCUUACACAUGGAAGGAUCAAACAUUUACUGAGCAACUGGACAAAUUACAUGUCAGGCUCAGGGCACAGAGGUGCUGCCUCUGGUUUGGGGAGCUCCUGGCCGGUGAAUGCCAGAAGCCAAGGGACAGUAUCCAAAUGUCUCCUUAUCUGGCCCUCCUUUGGCUGUCUGGUCUUCUUAAAGGGAUCUCAGAGUUAGAUUCUAAAAACAUACACGGUCACAGCAGCUGCUUGUUCUGUACUGUCCCCAAAAGGCAGGCUCCUCAUGAAACCCAAUCCUUACCCAGCACUGAGGGUGCAGAGAGCAGUUCUGUCACAAGAAAUAUUCCCCAAAGGUGUAGGCAGAGGGCUGCCCGUGCCGGCUCAUUUCCAGGCUGUUAUCCCAAGCAAUGCAGCAAGCUUGGGAUGCCGACUUUGGACAGCCUGGAGGGAAGAGCAGCGUGUGGUUAGCCAAAUUACCACUGGAUGACACUGUUGUUCCACACAGCUACAGCCAAAAAACUUCAUCUGGCAGUGGAAAUGUGCCUUGUAAAAGAGAAGUGCAGAUGUGGGGUUUUAAGUGUUCAGUGUAUUCUCUCUCUUAGUGCAAGGGGCAAAUUCAUUGCAUUUGCCUUUGUGUAUGUCCUCACAAUUAAAUGCUGGCUUUCAUUCCUUGGUGUUUAGGUUAAACAGCCUGAUUUAAUCUGCAUUUAGCCACUACUGCCUGCGUUCUCCAGAUUCAUAGCAAUGAAAAAAAUAGUAACUUCAUAUGUCACACAGGGAAGCUUUACUUACAACAUCACUAAGAAGAUUAAAAAUAAAUUGAAGCAUAUGUCACUUCAAAGGGGGCAAGAAAAGGACAUCUGCAUUAUUUGAUGCAUUAAUGAGAAAGUUCUGCCGAGUCUUGAUUUGAACUGUAUGGGAAAUGAUGUGAUUGGUAAGCUUGCAAGUUAAAUGUAUUUCAAAUGAAAUUGUUUCUGAAAUUUGUAUUUAAGCUAGGUUAAGGGAUGCUUGCAUUUUAAACUUUGCCUUCUGAUAUCUUGUUCAUAAAUUGAGCUUUACCCUUUUAACUUGAGGAGUUUACAAUAAAAAAUCAGAGCAAUUUAGCUACAAAUAUCUAAGGCUGCAUUUCAGUGGAAUAAGCAAGAACAGCUCUCCUGCCUGAGGCAAAUUUUAUCAUCCAUGACCAUCUGUACAGCUACAAACUAACUACCCCUGGCACUGCAUGAUUCUGUAGACAUUGGGCUAUGGACUAGCAAGCAAACAUCCAUCCAACCUGAUUCCUAUUUCCAGCUCCAAAUACUCCCUAUUAUUCUCAAUUCUGUAUCAAAUAUUUCCAAAAAUGUGGAGCCCAGGUAAUUUUUACCUUUCCCAUCUUUACUAUGAGGAUGAGGAUAAGUAAAACUCAGUGAUGGAUGUUAGAGAUGCAUGGGCAGAAACCCUCAUGAAAAAUUCACGAGGAACAAUAUGAGUUUCUCCACGCCAUCUUGGUGCUUCUGGUUUGUACAGCUCAGCUGAGGAAGGCUUCUUUGCCUCUGAAGGAAAUAUGACUUCCAGGAGGCUAAUGUUCUGUUUAAUGCAUUAGCUUUACCCCUUGGGACUCAGUUACAAAUGCAGCUCAGGCCAAAUUGAUGAAAUAUCAGUUAAUAUGCGAAUCUGACAGCUUGGAAAGGACACAGCUGCAGUGAGAUAGGAUAGUUUUAAGGUGAUAGAGAAAAAUCUACAUAUAAGAACACCAUUAUUUGUGUGUGUGGGUCUUUUAGAGGAAGAUGCUGACAGCUUGUUAAUGAAACCAGGAAUAAUCAGUCUGUUUUUCCAGAGACAAUUUCUCUGCAGUUCAUCCUAUGGGGGAAUUUGGCACAGAACAAAAAAAAAAAAAAAAAAAAAAAAAAAAAAAAAAAAAAAAAAAAAAAAAAAAAAAAAAAAAAAUAGGCUAAACCAUAGUCCAAUUGCUUUAUUGCUAGUAUGACAUUUUGCUGCACAGAGGUUUCAUAUAUGUCAACCUUCUCGUCAUAAGCAUAUCAUGAUUUUGUGAAAAAUUGGUGUGGACACUUGCCAGAUCCUA